rnacentral:rRNA from 1 species
CCUACGGGAGGCAGCAGUGAGGAAUUUUCCGCAAUGGGCGAAAGCCUGACGGAGCAAUGCCGCGUGGAGGAGGAAGGCCUGUGGGUCGUAAACUCCUUUUCUCAGAGAAGAAGUUCUGACGGUAUCUGAGGAAUAAGCAUCGGCUAACUCUGUGCCAGCAGCCGCGGUAAUACAGGGGAUGCGAGCGUUAUCCGGAAUUAUUGGGCGUAAAGCGUCCUGAGGUGGCUUACCCAGUCGACUGUGAAAGCUCAAGGCUUAACCUUGAAACGGCAGUCGAAACUUGUAAGCUUGAGUACGGUAGGGGCAGAGGGAAUUCCCGGAGGAGAGGUGAAAUUCGUAGAUAUCGGGAGGAAGGCCAAAGGCGAAAGCACUCUGCUGGGCCGAUUACUGACACUGACAGACGAAAGCUAGGGGAGCGAAAGGGAUUAGAUACCCCUGUAGUCCUAGCCGUAAACGAUGGAUACUAAGUGUUGCGCGACUCAAAACGUGCAGUGCUGCAGCUAACGCGGUAAGUAUCCCGCCUGGGGAGUAUGCCCGCAAGGGUGAAACUUAAAUGAAUUGACGG